rnacentral:rRNA from 1 species
AACGAACGCUGGCGGCGUGCCUAACACAUGCAAGUCGUACGAGAAACACAUCCUUCGGGGUGUGGAGUAAAGUGGCGCACGGGUGAGUAACACGUGGGUAACCUGCCUAGUGGAUCGGGAUAACUGGCCGAAAGGCCCGCUAAUACCGGAUAAGACCACAUGAGCUUCGGCUCAAGGGGCCAAAGUCGGCCUAUCGAUGAAGCCGGCACCACUGGCUGGGCCCGCGGACCAUUAGCUAGUUGGUAGGGUAACAGCCUACCAAGGCUGAGAUGGUUAGCUGGUCUGAGAGGAUGGCCAGCCACACUGGAACUGAGACACGGUCCAGACUCCUACGGGAGGCAGCAGUGAGGAAUAUUGCGCAAUGGGGGAAACCCUGACGCAGCAACGCCGCGUGAGUGAAGAAGGCUUUCGGGUUGUAAAGCUCUGUCGGGUGGGAAGAAACUUCCCCAGGUAAAUAGCCUGGAGAACUGACGGUACCACCGAAGGAAGCACCGGCUAACUCCGUGCCAGCAGCCGCCGUAAUAC